rnacentral:snRNA from 1 species
CUGCCACGAUCCACUGAGAU